rnacentral:rRNA from 1 species
AGGGCCAUCGCUCAACGGAUAAAAGCUACCCCGGGGAUAACAGGCUUAUCUCCCCCAAGAGUCCACAUCGACGGGGAGGUUUGGCACCUCGAUGUCGGCUCAUCGCAUCCUGGGGCUGUAGUCGGUCCCAAGGGUUGGGCUGUUCGCCCAUUAAAGCGGUACGCGAGCUGGGUUCAGAACGUCGUGAGACAGUUCGGUCCCUAUCCGUCGCGGGCGUAGGAAAUUUGAGAGGAGCUGUCCUUAGUACGAGAGGACCGGGAUGGACGCACCGCUGGUGUACCAGUUGUUCCGCCAGGAGCACAGCUGGGUAGCUAUGUGCGGAAGGGAUAAGCGCUGAAAGCAUCUAAGCGUGAAGCCCCCCUCAAGAUGAGAUUUCCCAUCGCGUCAAGCGAGUAAGAUCCCUUGAAGAUGACAAGGUAGAUAGGUCCGAGGUGGAAGCGUGGCGACACGUGCAGCUGACGGAUACUAAUCGAUCGAGGACUUAAC